UACCUGUCAGCAAACUCUUGAGUUCUUGGAUUGCCUGACUGGUGCUCAAUUCCGUCUCCUUCCUUAAUUCAGCUUGCCUCUGCUCCCAUCGAUCUUCAAAAUCCUUCAUCAUGGACAUCAUCCCCCUUCUCCACUCUUGGCCCCUUGUUCCUUCGGCCAUGGUUGCCAAGAUCGAAGCUCUGAUACCAAUGAUAAAAGCAAUUCAGAAAAUCAAAGAAUUACAGAGAAUCAACUCAGAAGUUUCAGUAUUAUUCCUCAAUGAAUCUUCCAAUUACAGAAUAUUUAUACUCCUAUAACAGAAGAAUAGCUAACUAACUACAGCUCCAGCUCAGCUAGCUUGUCAGCCAAUCAAUCUUCAGCAGCAGUUAAGCUGUUAUAACUAUUCUGGAGUUAAGAAGCCGUUCCUCUCUUCUUCGACUGAAUUCAUAUCAGGCAUGGACUUCUUCUUGGUCCGGUUGUUGUGGAGUUUAUCUUAAUAAUGUUGGUAGGGUUACACCCGAGGAGGCCGUGAAGCUCUGCGAUCGAAAUUUUGGUAUUGGAUGGUAGCGAGCCUGAGUUUUACUAUUCACAUUGGUGCCAUUUUAAUUGUUCCAGAAAUCCAACAUGAUGGAAAGGUGAAAGUGGAUAUGGGCCAGCCUAUACUUACAGCACGAGAUAUUCCUACUAAACUUCCAGCAAAAAAGAAUGGAGCUGUCAUCCAAGCCGAAUUGGUGGUUGAUGGUAUACCAUGGAAUGUGACCUGUGCUAGUAUGGGAAAUCCUCAUUGUAUCACUUUUGGCAUGAAAGUAUAAAAGAAUUUGUGCAAGUCAUCUCGUUCACACCUGAAAAUGCGUGUAUGGGAGUGUGGUGCGGGUAUACUGAAAGCUAUUGUUUUCUAUGUGUGUGCAUGUGUUUAUCCAUGUGAGGGAGUGAGAGAGAAGGGCUGAGUGGUGAUGGUGGUUUGGAUCUACUUUCUCAAGAGCAGAAAUAUUCUAAAGCUUCUUUCAUCUUCUCAAUGAUGUUACCCAGCAUAGAGUGCAACACCUCCCCGGGGGUACUAUAUUGUAGGAACAAUAUGUCGUCCUAACUUGGUUGUAUACCAUAUUCUUUUGUAUGAGCAGGAGCAACUCUAGCCUGUGGGACUGUAGCUUGUGCACUUGUUGUUGCAGCAGUUCUAGAGGGCUGCACUGAAAGGACAUGCUUGGUAUCACCAUACAUGCAUUGUUGAUUUGCCUGGUGAGCCACUGGAGAUUGAGUGGAGGAAGGAAGACAAUCAUGUUUACAUGACAGGCCCUGCAGAGGUAGUGUUUUAUGGAUUUGUCCCCCUUUAGCGCGGUGUUUAGAUUAGUUUCUAUGACCUUUGCUCCAAGAGGAGAUGAUAAAUGAGUCCAAUUGAAAGGUGUUCUGGAUAAUUAUCUGCAACAUGUAAAUUAAUGUAUGUAAACUGUCAGAAAUUUUGUGACUCGUAGUUUACAUGACGGCAUGUUACUUGUAAAUUGAAGCUACAGUCAGUUUGCUAUAGCCACUUGGCGUAAUUUGUGGCCAGUAACUUCUUCCGGACAAAGUUGCUACCUGACAGCUGUAUGCUGUUCUUCUUAUGCGGUGUUCAGGGUUCUGAUGGUGCAUGGACCAAAAACGGUUGUUUCAUGAUGCAUCUCCACAUUUCCCGAGGUUUGGCGCUUCUUUCAGCUAUAUGACCUCUGUGUUUAGAAUUCUUUCCCUAUCAACUGUAUUGUUUCUAUAUGUAGAACUGUUUCCUAAUAUGAACAUUUAGAAUCCUUUUUGACUGUUAACUCUCUAAACUCACCAAUGUUUAUGCAUUUCCUACCAUAUUCUAUGUUUCAUUGUUUAUAGACCGCAUGCAUCGCACGUGCCAUACUUUAGUAUAUUCUGAUUAAAAUUCAAAGAACUUCCUGCUUGGAUCU